rnacentral:rRNA from 1 species
GUGUCAGCAGCCGCGGUAAUACGUAGGGACCAAGCGUUGUUCGGAUUUACUGGGCGUAAAGGGCGCGUAGGCGGCGCGGUAAGUCACUUGUGAAAUCUCUGAGCUUAACUCAGAACGGCCAAGUGAUACUGCAGUGCUAGAGUGUGGAAGGGGCAAUCGGAAUUCUUGGUGUAGCGGUGAAAUGCGUAGAUAUCAAGAGGAACACCUGAGGUGAAGACGGGUUGCUGGGCCAACACUGACGCUGAGGCGCGAAAGCCAGGGGAGCAAACGGGAUUAGAUACCCCGGUAGUCCUGGCCCUAAACGAUGAAUACUUGGUGUCUGGAGUUUUAAUGCUCCGGGUGCCGUCGCUAACGUUUUUAGUAUUCCGCCUGGGGAGUACGCUCGCAAGAGUGAA